rnacentral:sRNA from 1 species
CUUCUUCGAUCUGCUGAGGGCAGAUGAAGUGGAUGUGGGCAUCCAUGCCGCCGGCGGUGAUGAUCUUGCCUUCGCCGGCAAUCGCCUCGGUGGAUGGGCCGAUGAUGAUAUCCACGUUUGGCUGUGUAUCGGGAUUGCCAGCCUUGCCAAUGCCGGCGAUCACGCCGUUCUUCAGUCCGAUGUCGGCCUUGUAGAUGCCGGUAUGAUCAACGAUCAGCGCAUUGGUGAUGACGGUGUCGACGGCACCUUGCGCACGGGUGCGCUGUGACUGGCCCAUGCCGUCGCGGAUG